AAUGAAGUGCCUGACUAAAAGGAUUACUUUGAUAGAGUAAAUCAUGUAAUUAUUACCUUCAUUA
rnacentral:tRNA from 1 species